rnacentral:rRNA from 1 species
CUUAAUUGGAUGCAACGCCGAGAACCUUACCAGGGCUUGGCAUCCCCGGACACCCUAUGAAAGUAGGUCUCCUGGGUAACACCAGGCCGGGUGACAGGUGGUGCAUGGUUGUCGUCAGCUCGUGUCGUGAGAUGUUGGGUUAAGUCCCGCAACGAGCGCAACCCUCAUCGGAUGUUGCCAUCGGGUAAAGCCGGGCACUCUUCCGAAACUGCCGGAGUAAUCCGGAGGAAGGUGAGGAUGACGUCAAAUCAGCAUGCCCCUUACGCCCUGGGCUGCACACGUGCUACAAUGGCGCGUACAAAGGGCUGCUAAGCCGUGAGGCGGAGCGAAUCCCAAAAAGCGCGUCUUAGUUCGGAUUGGAGUCUGCAACUCGACUCCAUGAAGUCGGAAUCGCUAGUAACCGCGUAUCAGCAACGGCCCGGUGAAUACGUU